AAGAUCAUGAGGAAAAAAAAAAUGCUUCAAACAAUUAAAACAUAAUGCAUUUCAGGACUUGCACAGGGCAGUGUCAGCCGUGUAGUUCAGGACGUGACAGCUGUGUGGAGUGACAUAGCUCGACCAGAGAUAAAAAUGACCUCCGCGAUGCAUGCAUUGAGGGAAUCAGCAAUAGCUUUUGCAAGAGUUCGGAAUUUCCCUCGGGUUAUUGGUGCCAUUGAUUGUAAGAUUCAAAAUUAUUUGGGACUGACGAAUGAGCACAUAUGAUAUUGGUCUCAGUAAAAGUACAGGAAUAGAUUUACAAUUUGCCUAUCGCUAAAUAAUAUUUAUUUGCAUAAUGUUUCUCAAUGCCAUUAAGGCAACCCAUGAAAAUGAGGCUGCCUACGUGAACAGGAAGAGGUACCACUCUUUCAAAUUCAAGUUGUGUGUGAUGCUGCUGGUAUGAUCAUCAGCUAUUGUGUCAGAUUUCCAGGUAAGUGUUCUUGAUGAUAUCAUUUAUUGUUAGGCAUGUUAAUAGUUAAAUCACAAACAUCCCUUACCUGCUACUGUAUUUCUAAAGUUUGAUUUUUAGCAAGAAUAAUUGCAGACUAGCUAUUUAGGCAAUGGAACUUGAGCAUUUGAAGAUCGUAAGACUCCACCAGUGUUGGGGACACCAAACAUGCUACAGCUCUUCUUUUGAGUCAGAAAAUUUUUCCAGUAUUAACAUGUUCAUGUUCGGGAAUCCUUUUUUUUAUCCUCCCCUUUUUUGCAGGGUCAAAUCACGACUCCUUCAUCUGACACCACUCCGACCUUUAUGAACGCUUUCGCAGGGGCAAGUUUGGGGACUACCUGCUCCUUGGCGACAGCGGCUAUGCAUUAGAGCCAUUUUUAAUGACUCCAGUCCGCAACCCCACAACAGAACCAGAGGAGCUCUACAACAGGGCCCAUACACGGACACGUGUCGUUGUGGAGCAAACCUUUGGAAUUCUAAAGAUCCGGUUCUGGUGCCUUCACAAAUCUGGGGAUGCCUUGCAGUAUGCUCCCAUGAAGUGCCUCAACAUCAUCACUUCAUGUUUACUGCUGCACAACCGCUGUGUCCAGCGGGGUAUUCCACUUCCCCAACAGCUUGAAGUGGAUGAGGAAGAACAGGAUGCUCCUGCUGCCGUUCUUGGAGCAGCUGCUGGCAGAGGAGCUGGGAGAGCAGUACGUGAAGCAAUAAUUGCUAAUUUCUUUGGGUGAAAUGGUGAGGUGUGUAUUUCAUCGGUCACUCUUGAGUAAAAGCUCAGUAAGUUUGUCACACAUGAGCGCCCUUUUCUGGAAUCCAUACUGUUUACUUGUGAUUAAGUUAUGCUCUUCUAGAAAUCUCGUUCAUUGUAUCUUUAUCACUUUUUCACAUAUUUUACAUACUACACUGGUCAAUUAUACGGGUCUGUAGUUCAGGGGUUCUUCCUUCCUUCCACUUUUAUGUAUAGGGACCACUUCGGCCCUCUGCCCGGCCCUCUGCCACUCCUUAGGCACUGUACCAGUUGUUAUUGAACAUUUAAUGAUGUCAUCGAUCGAUGUGUGUGUGUGUGUGUGUGUGUGUGUGUGUGUGUGUGUGAGAGAGAGAGAGAGAGAGAGAGAGAGAGAGAGAGAGAGAGAGAGAGAGAGAGAUGAAUGUAUUAAAAUAUUUGUAAAUAUUUUUUCUUUUGAGACCUUACUCAAAGUCGGUUAAACAUGUGACAAUGUUCUGUAUUUUAGACUAAUUAAAAUGCACAUAGUGUACAAGUCUCUGUGAUUUUUCCUUGUGUGCUUGUGUUUGGGCCCCUGUGAGCAUGUUAUUGCAGUUUGUCUUCUGGUCAGCCCCUUAACAGUUAUUCUGCCAGUCACAAUUGAUCCCUGACACACACACCAAUAUUCAAGGAAUAAGAUUAUUUUAAGUUAUGGUAAAAAAUUAUUGAGCAACCCUCACAUGUAUAAAAAUAGUGAAUGGCAAAAACCAUUAGACUUAAACCAAUAAUAAUAAACUUAUUGUAAUAGUAUAAAAAAUAUAUAAUUAGAAACAAAGGAACUAAAAAUGAGAUCAAAAUAAAUGCUGCAGAAGGAUAUCCAGCAGGAAAGGAAUGUCAGUCCCAUGAGGUUCAGUUUAACCCGGAAGCAGCAGGGAUCAUGUUUCUUAAUGGUACCUCUAAGUAAGAAAAAAAAAAGAA